rnacentral:rRNA from 1 species
GUGGCAGACGGGUGAGUAAUGCGUAGGAAUCUACCUAGUAGUAUGGAAUAGCCAUUAGAAAUGAUGGGUAAUACUGUAUAAUCCCUGCGGGGGAAAGAUUUAUCGCUAUUAGAUGAGCCUACGUUAGAUUAGCUAGUUGGUAAGGUAAUGGCUUACCAAGGCUAUGAUCUAUAGCUGGUCUGAGAGGACGAUCAGCCACACUGGAACUGAGAUACGGUCCAGACUCCUACGGGAGGCAGCAGUGGGGAAUAUUGGACAAUGGGCGAAAGCCUGAUCCAGCUAUGCCGCGUGAGUGAAGAAGGCCUUCGGGUUGUAAAGCUCUUUCAAUA